rnacentral:rRNA from 1 species
GGUGCGAGCGUUAUCGGAAUUACUGGGCGUAAAGCGUGCGCAGGCGGCUUUGCAAGACAGAGGUGAAAUCCCCGGGCUCAACCUGGGAACUGCCUUUGUGACUGCAAGGCUAGAGUACGGCAGAGGGGGAUGGAAUUCCGCGUGUAGCAGUGAAAUGCGUAGAUAUGCGGAGGAACACCGAUGGCGAAGGCAAUCCCCUGGGCCUGUACUGACGCUCAUGCACGAAAGCGUGGGGAGCAAACAGGAUUAGAUACCCUGGUAGUCAAGGGCG